GAGUAACGCGUGAGUAACCUGCCUUCAAGAGGGGGAUAACAUUCUGAAAAGAAUGCUAAUACCGCAUGAUAUAUCGGAACCACAUGGUUCUGAUAUCAAAGAUUUUAUCGCUUGAAGAUGGACUCGCGUCCGAUUAGUUAGUUGGUGAGGUAACGGCUCACCAAGACCGCGAUCGGUAGCCGGACUGAGAGGUUGAACGGCCACAUUGGGACUGAGACACGGCCCAGACUCCUACGGGAGGCAGCAUG
rnacentral:rRNA from 1 species